ensembl:lncRNA
CACAAAUAGUUUUAGUGAAUUAUUUUUAUGCAUAAUUCCUUCUACAAUAAAUUGUCUCUUUUGAGCACUGCAGAACUGGCGAUACCUCUAUUUUUCAAACCUUCAUGGUUAGCCCAGUAGUUUUCCUGUAUUUACAGUUGUAUUUAGCUGUGAGGUAAUGUGUUUUUAGACACAAUCGUUUCUAAAUGUUCACCUCCAUGAUUGUGGUUCACUUACAAUACGAACUUAAUGUUUUGUGCUUAAUCAUUUGGAUUUUUUGAUCCUGCAGUUCUUUGGAUUGUAUCGUUUUUGAAGAUGGCGAGUAAAAUAGAAGUAUGCAAACAGUGUGGACUGGGUGUCAUAGAUACAGAACAACUAGAAUUCUCUAAAAUCCUUCCUCCGAAGACAGGGAGUCUAGUAUUUCAGGAUCUCCCCUGGCCUAUCAACUGCCCCAAGAUGGAGCUGCAUGCAUUCCAUCUGCUCCUCUGCAUGGAGCAUGACUUCUCACCUUUGCAGCCACCCUUUCCUGAAGAGCCUCUUUUUUCUUUUUCCCAAGUUCAAUUUGUGCAGGUAAGAUAUGAUUUUGACUGUAGCACAAGCAAAAAUGUGGUCUUUGCACUUCAUCUUGAGUAUUGGAAUGAGGAAUAAUACAGGAGACUUCAUUUUAGUGUGAUUUUCUCACUCUGUAUCUGUGCCAUCGGCAACUGGAGAGGACUACUCCUUAAGAGGUAGUUUCACUUAAAACUGCAUGCAAGUGGGAAAUAAACACUAUAAACCUGAGGCUCAUGAAAUUUUAGAAAAGCAGUCUUAAUGUUUCCUGUGAUAGAUAAACAGAGUUUGAAGAAUGCUUGAGUAAUUGCACGCUACUUAUACCUUCUCUUUAUAUUUUAUUUUUAUCUCCAACACCAGCUACUCUAAAAUUGUCUUAGAAGUGGAAUCACAGACCUUCUGACAUUAGGUUAUUUUUUUUUCCUUUUAACAAUUCUCUAGAAUUAAAAACAAAAAGGCAUCUUCUGGUAAGAUUAUGGUAAAAUGCUGUGUAUUCUUUCAGCAGAAUUUUGAGAUUUUUGCUGUUUUUGUUCUCAAAAUGUGCCUAAUUUUGGGAACAAAAGCUGUAUACCUAUCACAGCCUCAGUAGUAAUUAUGACAACAUUGUACCAAUGUAUUAAGUAAUAAACGAAACAACAGAUUUGUAGCAUGAUGUUUCCAAGUUCUGUAUGAAAACUGCAUUAUAGGGAAUGAAAGGGAUCUUUAAAUAUUUUGUCCAACUGCUUUUGGUUUGCUAGUAAUAGAAAUAAUUGAAUACAUUCACUCGUUUCUGCUUGUUGAAACAUCUGAACCUGCGCAAAAGGAUGUUUUUGUAAUCAGGUUAAGUUAUGUAUGACUCAAAGACUGAAUGUGAAGUCUUAUAACUGUAGUCAGUAAUAACAAUAGUAAAAAUAUGAGGUAUUGUCUCAAAUAUAUUUUCACCUUCACUGAAAGAAAAUUAAUUGAAAUCAACCUACUUAAGUACCUUUUAAAGAUAUUUUGGGCCUGUUAGUGCAAAAUUACUAGCAAUUGUGGUAGAAGUGUCAAGUCUGUAAACAUAAUCAUAAUAAAUUUGAUCAUAGGUUGGUUUCUAAAAUAAUUAAAUCUAUUAUUUGAUGCUACUGUAAUUACUGCUGUCUCUCUUUAAAAGCAUGUUAUGUUUUCUUAGCUGUAAGAAGUCACACACUAUAAAAGUUCUUAAGCAUAGAAACACAUGUACAGGUUUAUUAUCUCUCGAUUAACAGCUAUAAAGAGUAUCUGGCAUGAUGAUUAAAGAUAAUACUUUUGUACUUCAUAAAAUUUCAGUAUUAG